rnacentral:rRNA from 1 species
AACGAACGCUGGCGGCAUGCCUAACACAUGCAAGUCGAACGAGACCUUCGGGUCUUGUGGCGCACGGGUGCGUAACGCGUGGGAACCUGCCCUUAGGUUCGGAAUAACUCCACGAAAGGGGUGCUAAUACCGGAUAAUGUCUUCGGACCAAAGAUUUAUCGCCUUUGGAUGGGCCCGCGUUGGAUUAGCUAGUUGGUAGGGUAAAAGCCUACCAAGGCGACGAUCCAUAGCUGGUCUGAGAGAAUGAUCAGCCACACUGGGACUAAGACACGGCCCAGACUCCUACGAGAGAGAGGAGUGGGGAAUAUUGAACAAUGAGCGAAAUCCUGAACCAGCAAUGCCACGUGAGUGAUGAAGGCCUUAGGGAUGUAAAGCUCUUUUACCCGAGAUGAUAAUGACAGUACCGGGAGAAUAAGCUCCGGCUAACUCCGUG